rnacentral:rRNA from 1 species
GACGAACGCUGGCGGCGUGCCUAACACAUGCAAGUCGAACGGAGAAUUAGCAAUAAUUCUUAGUGGCGAACGGGUGAGUAACGCGUAGACAACCUACCCUUUAGAUGGGGACAACACCGCGAAAGUGGUGCUAAUACCGAAUAUUGCUUGAGAAGCGCAUGCUUUUCAAACUAAAGAUGGCCUCUAUUUAUAAGCUAUCGCUAAAGAAUGGGUCUGCGUCUGAUUAGCUAGUUGGUGAGAUAAAAGCUCACCAAGGCAACGAUCAGUAGCCGGACUGAGAGGAUGGACUGCCACACUGGGACUGAGACACGGCCCAGACUCCUACGGGAGGCAGCAGUGGGGAAUCUUCCGCGAUGGACGAAAGUCUGACGGAGCAACGCCGCGUGAGUGAUGAAGGUUUUCGGAUCGUAAAACUCUGUUGUUAAGGACGAAUGUAUAGAUUGUGAAUAAUGGUUUAUAAUGACGGUACUUAACGAGGAAGCCACGGCUAACUACGUGCCAGCCGCCGCCGUAA